rnacentral:rRNA from 1 species
GACGAACGCUAGCGGCAGGCUUAAUACAUGCAAGUCGAGGGGUAGCAAGAUUGUAGCAAUACAAUUGUUGACGACCGGCAAACGGGUGCGGAACACGUACACAACCUUCCUACAAGUGGGGAAUAGCCCAGAGAAAUUUGGAUUAAUACCCCGUAACAUAGCGAUGUGGCAUCACAUUGCUAUUAUAGCUUCGGCGCUUGUUGAUGGGUGUGCGGCUGAUUAGAUAGUUGGCGGGGUAACGGCCCACCAAGUCUACGAUCAGUAGCUGAUGUGAGAGCAUGAUCAGCCACACGGGCACUGAGACACGGGCCCGACACCUACGGGAGGCAGCAGUAAGGAAUAUUGGACAAUGGACGCAAGUCUGAUCCAGCCAUGCCGCGUGAAGGAUUAAGGUCCUCUGGAUUGUAAACUUCUUUUAUAAGGGACGAAAAAAGGUCUUUCUAGAUCGUCUGACGGUACCUUAUGAAUAAGCACCGGCUAACUCCGUGCCAGCAGCCGCCGUAACAC